UCGCCCACGUGGGCUCGCCGUCGCCGCGAGCUCCACCUUUCCCAGUUCCCUCCCCUCCCCACUCCACCAUUCCAGCCCGAGCGCGAUGUGGCGAGCGGCGAGGCGCUGGACGCCGCCGCUGCCGCUGCGGCGGCUCUCGUCGGACGCCGCCGCCCCCAAGGCGCCGCGGCGGCGGCGGGUGGCGGCGCUGUGGGGGAACGGGGACUACGGGCGCCUGGGGCUGGGCGCGCUGGAGUCGCGGUGGAGCCCCACGGCCUGCCCCUUCUUCCUCGCCCGCGCCGCCGACCCGCCCGCCUCCCUCGCCUGCGGCGGCGCGCACACCCUCUUUCUUACCCAGAGCGGGCGUGUGUUCUCCACGGGUCUGAACGACUUUGGGCAGCUCGGGAUAGGAUCCUCUGUUACACAUACACUGGAGCCUGUCGAAGUUUCUGGAUUUCAUGAGAGAGUUGUAGAAAUUUCAGCUGGCAACCAUCAUUCUUGUGCAAUUACUGCGGAUGGUAAACUCUUUGUUUGGGGAAGAAACUCAGGUGGCCAGCUUGGCCUUGGAAAAGGGGCAGGAAAAGCAGUUUCUACCCCAACGAAGGUUGAUUGUUUGACUGACUUUAGAGUGAAAAUGGUUGCUUUGGGAUCAGAGCAUUCAGUUGCUGUUACAGACGAAGGUGAAGUCUUAAGUUGGGGAGCUGCUGGUUCCGGCAGGCUCGGACAUGGCUACCAAUCUAGCAUACUGGGAUUCUCUCUGACCUCAAGCGAAUAUACUCCAAGGUUGAUAAAAAACCUUGACGGGAUAAAGAUUGAAAAGGUAGCUGCAGGAAUGUUGCACUCUGCUUGCAUUGAUGAAAAAGGUACUUUGUUCAUAUUUGGGCAGAAGACUGAGAAGGGAUUUGGAAGAUCAAAUGAAGCAUUCAGACCGGUUAUUGUUGAAGAGAUACCGUUUUCAGAAGAAGUUGCUUGUGGAGGUUACCAUACUUGUGUUGUAACAGGUGAUAUUUUACAGGAAAUGGUGAUCUGUAUUCUUGGGGUUCAAAUGAAAAUGGCUGCCUUGGUCUGGGAGAUAUGGAUAUGGUUCGUGCUCCAGAAAUUUUGGAAAGCUCAGUAUUUGAGCUUCCUGUAUCUAAGGUCUCUUGUGGUUGGAAGCACACUGCUGUAAUUUCAGGUGGUGACAUUUACACCUGGGGUUGGGGAGGCGCUAAUGGUACUUUUUUUGAAGAGGGCCAUUCUUCUGGCGGACAACUGGGACAUGGAAACGACGUAGACUAUUUUGAACCUAUGAUGGUGCCGUUCAGCAAGAAUGCAAGAGCGGUCCAUGUAUCAUGUGGCUUCAAUCAUACCGGCGCAAUUUAUGAGUACUCCGAGGACUGACUGAUGUGCCAUCUGCAGACUGCGGAAUGACAUGUUGCAUACUAAUUAUCCAAUCAUACUGAGCACAGGUGUACAGAGGAACCGCAGAAAGAAGCUAAGGUAUUGGAUCUGCAUCAUUGUGAAGAGAAUAUAGAACAAAAUGAUAACCCCUCUUGAGCGAGGGGGGUGUAAUUUGAACAGAAUAAGAGAUAAACUGGAUGCCUUUUGUGAUGCACCAGGGUUGCAGCAGGUCAGCGUAUAGUGUUCAUUUAUUAUUUGGUGGAUAUGUAUUUUUUUUGCAGCUAAUAAGGAAUCCAUUGCCUGAUAUCUCACCAGGCUGGUGUUGUACAUGACGAGUGCUUGUCUAUGUUUGCUGUGUAUCCAUGCAAAUGUACUAAAUGGUAUCAGAAUUAGAAUAAUGUUUGUACAAUUAAAUGUGUAUAUGUCCAACCUUUAUUUCUAGA